CUGGCUCAGGAUGAACGCUAGCUACAGGCUUAACACAUGCAAGUCGAGGGGCAGCAUGUGGUUGCUGCAACCAAUGAUGGCGACCGGCGCACGGGUGAGUAACGCGUAUCCAACCUUCCGCAUAGUAGGGGAUAGCCCGGUGAAAAUCGGAUUAAUACCCUAUGUUAUUCGCAGAAGACAUCUGAAGUGAAUCAAAGGUUUACCGCUAUGCGAUGGGGAUGCGUCUGAUUAGGUAGACGGCGGGGUAACGGCCCACCGUGCCAACGAUCAGUAGGGGUUCUGAGAGGAAGGUCCCCCACAUUGGAACUGAGACACGGUCCAAACUCCUACGGGAGGCAGCAGUGAGGAAUAUUGCGCAAUGGGGGAAACCCUGAACCGCAGCAAUGCCGCGUGAAGGAUGAAGGUCUUCGGAUUGUAAACUUCUUUUGUCAGGGACGAAAUUGACGGUACCUGACGAAUAAGCUCCGGCUAACUACGUGCCAGCCGCCGC
rnacentral:rRNA from 1 species